AGAGCAAUAACCUGGCAGCAAUUUCAUUCUGAGAGAUCAAAGCUGCGCUCAUAACCGGGCUGCAGAUGGGUCCCAGAGAAUCACAUGAAUACACAGAUUUGAUUUGCCUCCUACCUCUUUGGGAUAUCCCUCUUUGACUCUUUCCAGUUUGUAACAUAAAGAAGGAAUGACAAUACCAGAAGAGGAGGCUCUGAAGUACCAUUAGGUAUGAUGAUGAAGCCUCCGGAGGUCACUGUGCACCACAGGAAGUCAAGUUCUACAGUACCAUAGCAUCAUAGCACCAUGAGGAGACCGAGACUCAGAAGAGGGCAGUGGAAGGGUUUCAUCGCCUGUGCCCUCAAUGGGGGAAGGCGCGUCCAGAUCUGCGUAUUCCGUGGGAGCAGAUGCCAGAGCACAUCACAGAGACAGACAGGGACCACACCAAAUAAUUCAACAAAUCACACUAAUCAUCUACUUGGAGCAGAGUGCUGUGCCAGGAAGUGGGAAAAUAAAAAUGAUUCUGGUCUCUGUCCGCAGGGGUCUACUG